CCCUUCGGCUGUGGCUCUCAACAACUAACCUCACCAUAUGGUUCAGAAGCUUUUGGAGCUCUUUUGAAAUUGGUGCAAGAAAUUUUGAGAUGCUCAACAGUGCAAGCUGAAAAUGGUUUAAACUGUUGUAAGCAGAACUUAGUGGCCAAUUCUUGUGGGAGCUCAGAAGACCAGAAUGCCAAUGGGACCAAGAACAGUGAAGAAAGGGCUUGAGAGGGCUCAGAGGAGGAUACUAUUGCCCAGGAGCCCUAGACCAUCAAUCACCUCACUGGCAUCAGACAGACACAUUGCUUCAUAGAUUGAAGAAUGAGGAGCUAAGAGACAGGAAAUUGAAGCAGAGACCAAGAAUGUAUUUCUUGGCACAACAAGCCACAAAGGAGCUUCAAAUUGACAAAGAACUUGAAUAUACACUUUUUACUAGUAAACAUGAAAGAUGAUUAACAGGAUAUUGUAGUAGUGUCAUUAUAGACAUGCAAGAUAAACUGCAGUGAAAUUUCCUCACUUUUACUAAUAAAGCCAUAAUAAAAAUA